UGAGAUUCAUUGUCUUGAUCACCAUCAUUGUCACUGUAGCCCUUAUUGGUGAAGGCAGCAGUAUGAUUGCAGAGCCUUCAUCACCGUGUCAGGACAAAAGCCCCAAAAGUCAUUAUAAAGAAUUUCUCAGCAGACACAUCCUUCAAGAGGAAUUUGACAGAAAUUCCCUAGAUGCUUGGAAAAGGUAUUUGAAAAAAGAACACCUCUGGUGCAGAACUACAGUGCAAUCGUUCCUCAAUAAAAGUGAUCUGAAGAACGUGAUCAGAAUCUGCAGCAGAGACGGGCGACGCUUAAGCAAGACGGAUAACUAUGCAGGGAACUUGUGCAUCAGCAACUCAGAGAUGCUGAUAUAUGAAGUCAUAUCCACAAAAAGCAACACGGAUUGUAAAAUUACAGUUGGUGCAAAGAAAAGGGUUGUGAUUGUGGCAUGCAACAAGGUUGGAAACCAAUGUCUCCCUGUUCAUUUUCAGAAAUAUGAACACCAGAGAGCAAGCAAUAUACCCUGCAGUCCUGCAAGGAAUUUCAGUAUUGUGGUAGAAUAGCUUUCUACAGUCAGACCAAUGAUUCUGUGACAAACUUUGCUUGUUGCUAUACUGAUUAUUAAAAUUUCAUGAUGAGUUAAGAUUCAUUUCUAAAUUCAGUGACUUUGGAUGGUGUUAGUGCUAAUUAUGAAUUUAGUUUUCUUUUUGAUUCAUUAUUGAAAUAAGAAUCAUACAGAGUUCAAUAACAAAUGCUGCGUCCACAUUUCUAAUAUUUAAUCUAUGAAAGAAACAUCUGAUUGAUGAGCACUUCUAACUAGCUGUCUAAUAUUUGGAUUUUGGAGCUACUUGGUUUGUACUUGUGUUUUUGACUGUACGACCACUCCCACUUGUAUCUUUCACAAGAAAAACUGAGGGAUUUUGUAUUUGUAUCCUUGAAACAGAAUUGUGUAACUUUGAGUUCCCUUUCUUCCUGUUUAUUAAAGAAAGAAGUGUAACAGGAAACAGUAUAUUUGCUGUUAGACCUACGCAAGCAAAUGUUUGUGGUCACUAUGUCCUCAGCCAAUUUGUUUUUAAUUUGUACACUCUUGAUUUUGGUUUGUGAAAAUUGAAACACAUACAUGAGGUGUAUUUAAGUUUCAGCGUUUGUCAGUUAAAUAAGUUAGCACAACCAGACGAGGCUCAUAUGUUUUGAGGCCGGGGAUUUGACAUUACUGUGAAUCAGUUUCUGUUUUAAAGGCUGUUUCUUGCUAUAGCUACUCUGACCGUCCUCUGAACUUCCUUCUUUUUAAAUUAAAUUUUAGGCACGUAUUCUUCUCUUGGUAAAAUGUUCAUCAGCUGUUCUGACUCUCCAGCUUUUAUCUCAAUUAAAUAUAAAACCCUCAUUACCAUUACAUUACCAGGAACUUAUGAUAUCCUUACAGUUCCACAAAUAAACAUAUCAGAAACUUGUGUAA